rnacentral:lncRNA from 1 species
AGCUGUUUGCUAUGAGUGCUUGAUAUGGGAGAGGGAUAGCUCAGGCUGGGUUUUUGCCUGUGGCUGCUGCUGUAGGCUAGACUGCAAGACAGGAGCUGUGGGGAGCGUAGGGGUUUUUGUCAGCUUUGCACAGACCCCUUUCUGCAGGAACUGGAGGCUUUGUCCAACAACAUCCAUGAGCUGAGAGGACUGAAAAAAAGAGUCUAGACUGACUGAGGACUCACCGACCUCACUAAAGAGGAGGGCAGGCCCAGGAUAUGAACUGAGCAGAGGAGACGGACAACUUUGUCUUAACAAUAAAGUAAACAGCAC